rnacentral:tRNA from 1 species
GCCAUGGUGGCGGAAUUGGUAUACGCACACGCCUUAGGAGCGUGAUCCCGCAAGGGAUUGUGGGUUCGAGUCCCACCCAUGGCACCA